rnacentral:rRNA from 1 species
UACGAAGGGUGCAAGCGUUACUCGGAAUUACUGGGCGUAAAGCGUGCGUAGGUGGUUCGUUAAGUCUGAUGUGAAAGCCCCGGGCUCAACCUGGGAACUGCAUUGGAUACUGGCGAUCUGGAGUGUGGCAGAGGGGGGUGGAAUUCCGCGUGUAGCAGUGAAAUGCGUAGAGAUCGGGAGGAAGGCCGGUGGCGAAGGCGGCGCUCUGGAACAUUUCUGACGCUGAGGCUCGAAAGCGUGGGGAGCAAACAGG